GUGUUUAACUCACCAUUUGCUGUAGUAAUGUGGUGUGUUAAGCACUCACUAAUUACAGGAGUUUCAACUCCGUGUUUAAUUCACCAAUUGCUGUCUCUUCGGCUGUCAUCCCUUCCUCUCCUCCCUCUCCUGCCGCAAGGCUAUAAAGAGGACAUGUGUCUUUGGUCUUGUACACACACAACACACAACUCAUAUCACAAUCCUGUUGUAAAGAAGGAAUCCUCAUCUCGUAACUCCGCGCGCACGGAGGAGCGAGAGGGCAGGUGCCUCCGAAGCCCUUGUCGUUCGAGACCUUGCACGAGGGAUCGCCAAUUACGUUUUUGGGGAGCGACUACGCGACUGCCCAAUCCACCGCCACUGUUCGUCUUCCUCAAGCUGGUUCGGGCGGAUUUCUUCUUCCUGGUGGAAAGAUCGUCUUCAUCCUCUACAUCAUGGAAAUUGGUCAAGGAUCGGGAUCAUCGGAGCGCACGAGAGGGUAUGAUCCGUUCAUCUUCCUGUUGUAUUUCGUCUUUCUGUUCGUACAUGUUGCAGUAGUGUGUUUGUUUUGUUGCGCAUACUAUCCUGGUUAUGUUUCAUAUGUUCUACCAUGUCUUUUCUGUUUUUAUCUUAUAUAUGUUUCUGCUUGUUUCGCUAGUUAAGUUAAAACGUUUCAUAUGCUGCUGUCUCUAUGUUUCACUAGUGGUUCAGUCACGUCGUUUGACAUACUGUUUCUCAUAUGUAUCAGUAGUUCUUUUUCGUCGUUUAACAUGCAGUCUCUUGUUUAUUGCUAUUUUAAGAUAUAUGUCUUGCCUUGUUAUUAUAUUUCAUAUAUUAUGCUUUUAUAUUUUUAAUAAUCACAUGUUCUACAUGUUCAUGGAUCACAUGUUCUAUAUUCCUAUGAACAUGUUUAAUAUCAUGAUUUCUAUGAUUAAUUAUAUUAUAUAUGUCAUCAUCAUAAUGUUGAUUUAUGGAAUUAAAAUGAUAUGGAAAUUGUCUAUAAUUCUAACAAUUCAAAAACCUAAAUAUAAUAGGCAUUUUUCUGUCAGAGGUUUUGCUGCUACUUUGAAGCCUGAUUCUUUUGAUGGGAAAAACUUCUUGUUUUGGAAAGCUAAAAUGGAACUGUGGCUAACUGCAAUGUCAUGUUAUCAUGCCGCUGAGGGCAAACCUGCUAACUUACCUCCUGCGGAUGAGGCAAAGUUUAAGGUUGAUGACAACCUCUUUCGAGGUGCAGUAAUUAGCACACUUGAUCCUAAGUUCCAGAAAAGCUAUAUCAUCCAUCCUACAGGGAAAGAGCUGUGGGAUGCACUUGUGGGAAAGCUUGGAGUUAUUGAUGCUGGUAGCGAGCUGUAUCUCAUGGAGCAGCUGUUUGACUACAAUAUGGUUGAGAACCGAUCUGUAGUGGAACAGGCUCAUGAGAUUCAGACACUAGCUAAGAAACUUGAACUGUUCCCUUGUCUUUUGCCCGACAAGUUUGUGGCUGGCGGUAUUAUCGCCAAGUUGCCACCUUCUUGGAAGGACUUUGGCACCUCUCUCAAACACAAGAGGCAAGAGUUCAAUGUUGAGGAACUCAUUGGCACUCUAGAUGUUGAGGAGAGGGCUAGAGCAAAGGACAAUAGGAAAGGUGUUGAGACCUCAUCUGCCAAUGUGGUGCAGAAGAAAUCUCACAAGUGGAACAAGAAGAAGAUCCAGAAAAAGAAGGAGAACACUCCUAAACCCGUUCAAACCACACAGUUCAAGAAACAAAACAACAACAACAACAAGAAGAAAGGUGGCUGCUUUGUGUGUGGCAGUGAGAAUCAUUGGGCAAGUGAGUGCCCUGAUCGUAAGUUCAAACAGGAGAAGAAAAUUGUAAACAUGGUUACUACUGAAACUGGAGAUGGAACAUCUGGGUAUGGUAAUUCUUUACCAUUUGUUCUUUCAGUUUGUAAUUCACCUGAGUGGUGGAUGGACAGUGGUGCAAAUAUCCAUGUAUGUGCUGAUGUCUCUUUAUUUGCCACUUAUCAGGUCGGGAGGUCUGGCGCCUUGUUGAUGGGAAUGGGUCGCGUGCUCAUGUUCUUGGUGUUGGUAUGGUCAUUCUGAAGUUUACUUCGGGAAAGACGGUGUCAUUGAAGAACGUACAUCAUGUUCCCUCCAUCAAGAAAAAUCUUGUUAGUGCAUCUAUGCUAUGCCGAGAUGGCUAUAGAGUUGUUCUUGAAUCAAAUAAAUGUGUUGUGUUGAGACAUGGUUCGUUUGUGGGUAAAGGAUAUGAUUGCGGAGGUUUGUUCCGCUUAUCGUUGCAUGAUGUUUGUAAUAAACUUGUGAAUUCUGUUGAUAUUUCUGAUGAGUCGGAUUUAUGGCAUUCACGGUUUUGUCAUGCAAGUUAUGGCUGUCUUAUGCGCUUAGCAAAUCUAAAUUUAAUUCCUAAAUUCAACUUGGUCAAAAAGUCUAAGUGCCAUGUAUGUGUUGAAUCAAAACAACCCCGCAAGCCUCACAAGGCUACUGAGGCGAGGAGUUUGGCACCUCUUGAACUUGUUCAUUCUGAUCUGUGCGAAAUGAAUGGUAUUUUGACUAAAGGCGGUAAAAGAUACUUUAUCACAUUUAUAGAUGACUCUACUAGAUUUUGCUAUGUGUAUCUCUUAAAAACAAAGGAUGAAGCGCUCCACUAUUUUAAGACCUAUAAAGCUGAAGUUGAAAAUCAACUAGAGAGGAAAAUAAAACAUUUAAGGUCUGAUAGAGGUGGAGAAUAUUUCUCAAAUGAUUUCGAUGAAUUUUGUGUGGAACACGGUAUUAUUCAUGAGAGGACAUUGCCAUUCUCACCACAAUCCAAUGGGAUUGCUGAAAGGAAAAACCACACUUUAACAGAGUUGGUGAAUGCCAUGUUAAAUAUAGGGGGAUUAUCCAAGGAAUGGUGGGGUGAGGCAAUUUUGACCGCGUGUCAUGUCCUAAACAGAGUUCCUACUAAAAACAAAGAGAUCACUCCAUUCGAGGAAUGGGAAAAGAAGAGAAUAAAUCUUUCAUAUUUACGCACUUGGGGUUGUUUGGCAAAGGUUAAUGUGCCAAUCAACAAGAAGCGUAAAUUAGGACCUAAAACUGUUGAUUGUAUUUUCCUUGGUUAUGCUUUCCACAGCGUUGGAUAUAGGUUCUUAAUUAUAAAAUCUGAUGUGCCUGAUAUGUAUGUUGAUACUAUCAUGGAAUCGAGAGACGCUACAUUUUUUGAGAAUGAGUUUCCCAUGAAGAAUACACCUAGUGAAACAAGUCAUGAGACUAUAAUUCUCUAUGAGUAUGAAUUGUCUAUUCCUAUAGAUCAUGUUGAGGAUUCUCAUGUGCACAUCCCUGAGGAGGAUGACACUGUAGUCACACGCAAGAGUAAGAGGCAAAGAGUUGCCAAAACUUUUGGUGAUGACUUUAUAGUGUACCUUGUGGAAGACACGCCAUCCACCAUUAAAGAGGCAUAUUCCUCUCCUGAUGUUGACUUAUGGAAGGAAGCAGUAAGGAGUGAGAUGGAUUCUAUUAUGUCUAAUGGAACUUGGGAGGUUGUUGACCGUCCUUAUGGGUGUCAACCUAUAGGUUGCAAAUGGAUCUUCAAGAAAAAGCUUAGGCCUGAUGGUACAAUUGAGAGGUACAAGGCAAGGCUUGUGGCCAAAGGAUAUACCCAGAAAGAGGGUGAAGAUUUCUUUGACACCUACUCACCAGUUGCUCGAUUGACCACAAUUCGCACAAUGAUUGCAGUGGCAGCCUCUUACGGUCUUAUCAUUCAUCAGAUGGAUGUAAAGACAGCUUUCCUAAAUGGAGAGUUGGAAGAGGAGAUCUAUAUGGAUCAGCCAGAAGGCUUCAUUGCAAAUGGUCAAGAGAACAAGGUGUGUAGGCUACUAAAAUCAUUAUAUGGCCUAAAACAAGCACCUAAGCAAUGGCAUGAAAAGUUUGACAAUACUUUGACAUCUGCCGGUUUCUCUAUAAAUGAGGCUGAUACUUGUGUGUAUUAUCGGUAUGGUGGGGGUGAGGCUGUAAUGCUAUGCCUUUAUGUUGAUGACAUUUUGAUCUUUGGAUCAAACCUCAAUGUGAUUGAGGAAGUAAAGAAAUUGUUGACGAGCAACUUUGAAAUGAAGGAUAUGGGAGAAGCUGAUGUAAUUCUCAACAUCAAGCUUAUAAAGGAAGGUGAUGGUGGGGUAACUUUGUUACAGUCCCACUAUGUGGAAAAGGUUCUAAGUCGCUUUGGGUUUAGUGACUGUGAUCCUGCACCGACUCCUUAUGACCCUAGUGUGCUAUUAAGAAAAAAAUAAGAGAAUAGCAAGGGAUCAAUUGACAUACUCCCAAAUCAUUGGUUCACUGAUGUACCUUGCGAGUGCAACAAGGCCUGACAUCUCUUAUGCUGUGAGCAAGCUAAGUCGGUUUGUAUCAAACCCGGGGGAUGAUCAUUGGCGUGCUCUUGAGAGAGUAUUGCGUUAUCUCAAAGGUACUAUGACCUACGGUAUUCGUUAUACCGGACAACCCAGAGUGCUAGAAGGCUAUUGUGAUGCCAACUGGAUCUCUGAUGCUGAUGAGCUUUAUGCCACGAGCGGAUAUGUGUUCCUGCUUGGAGGUGGCGCUGUUUCCUGGAAGUCUUGCAAGCAGACUAUCUUAACGAAGUCAACAAUGGAAGCAGAACUCACUGCAUUGGACACUGCUGGGUCUGAGGCUGAGUGGCUACGUGAUUUCCUAUUGGAUUUACCGGUAGUUGAAAAACCAAUACCGGCUAUCUCCAUGAACUGUGAUCACCAGACUGUGAUUACAAAGGUUAAUAGUUCAAUAACAUGAAGUCCACAAGGCAUGUUAAGAGAAAUUAAAAUCUGUCAGAAAAUUGAAAACCUCUGGAGUUAUAACGGUGGACUAUGUCCAUACGUCGAAUAAUCUGGCAGAUCAAUUCACCAAGGGUCUAUCACGCAAUGUGAUAGAAGGUGCAUCGAGAGAGAUGGGUAUGAGACCCACGUGAAAUCUACUGUAGUGGUAACCUGCUCUAUGUGAUCGGAGAUCCCGUGAAGUAGAGUGGUGAAACAAGCUAUGAGUAGAUUGAGAGGAAAGAUCCCUUUCUUGACUCAUCUCUGAUGCUCAUCUUUCCUAUCUGUAAGGCAGGUUAGUUUUUACCUUAAUGUAUUCCAAAGGUGAGAUGUUGUCCUACAGAACAUCUAUGGAGGAGUACACCUAUAUGAGUCAGACUGCUAGUCACAGUCUAUGGGACUUGGGUAAUCCCUAAAUACUCAUGAAAGGCACUGAAGUGUGACUUAUAUGCUUCAAAACAGCGGGGAUGCCUUGUGCAGCCUAGUAUCAGCUAAGGACUGGAGCAGAUCUCAUCUCGCACAAAACUGUCAAUUCAAGGCUUAGUCCAUUGUUCAGUUGUGAGUGAGUGAAACUCUUGUUCUAGAUGGAUGUUCAACUUAACAGUCUCCAUCGAAACACUGGUAUAUCAAAGAAUUGUGCUUCUGAUAUUUCAUUAUUACAAACCCUAGAGUUUGGUGGGGAUUGUUGGAUUUAUUUUGGGCUAGGCUCAAUUAGAUUUAAUAAAUCAAAUAAACUCUAUGGUAUGUAAUUGUGAAUAAUACGAGUUGUACAGGACAUGGCGAGGCGAGGGGAGCCAAGCAAACAGGCAUGCGGUGUAGUGAUAUGGUGUGUUAAGCACUCACUAAUUACAGGAGUUUCAACUUUGUGUUUAACUCACCAUUUGCUGUAGUAAUGUGGUGUGUUAAGCACUCACUAAUUACAGGAGUUUCAACUCCGUGUUUAAUUCACCAAUUGCUGUCUCUUCAGCUGUCAUCCCUUCCUCUCCUCCCUCUCCUGCCGCAAGGCUAUAAAGAGGACAUGUGCCUUUGGUCUUGUACACACACAACACACAACUCAGAUCACAAUCCUGUUGCAAAGAAGGAAUCCUCAUCUUGUAACUCCGCGCGCACGGUGGAGCGAGAGGGCAGGUGCCUCCGAAGCCCUUGUCGUUCGAGACCUUGCAUGAGGGAUCGACAAUUAGGUUUUUGGGGAGCGACUACGCGACUGCCAAUCCACCGCCACUGUUCGUCUUUCUCAAGCUGGUUCGGGCGGAUUUCUUCUUCCUGGUGGAAAGAUCGUCUUCAUCCUCUACAUCAUAGAAAUUGGUCAAGGAUCGGGAUCAUCGGAGUGCACGGGAGGGUAUGAUCCGUUCAUCUUCCUGUUGUAUUUCGUCUUCCUGUUCGUACAUGUUGCAGUAGUGUGUUUGUUUUGUUGCGCAUACUAUCCUGGUUAUGUUUCGUAUGUUCUACCAUGUCUUUUCUGUUUUUAUCUUAUAUAUGUUUCUGGUAUAAGAUCUAUGUCAUGUCUGCUUGUUUCGCUGGUUAAGUUAAAACGUUUCAUAUGCUGCUGUCUCUAUGUUUCACUAGUGGUUCAGUCACGUCGUUUGACAUACUGUUUCUCAUAUAUUUCAGUA
rnacentral:lncRNA from 1 species